rnacentral:rRNA from 1 species
UUAUACUCUCGGCGUGCUAACCAUGCAGUCGAACGGUAAGGCCCUUCGGGGUACACGUAGUGGCGAACGGGUGAGUAACACGUGGGUGAUCUGCCCUGCACUCUGGGAUAAGCCUGGGAAACUGGGUCUAAUACCGGAUAGGAGCUCCUGUCGCAUGGCGGGGGUUGGAAAGGUUUACUGGUGCAGGAUGGGCCCGCGGCCUAUCAGCUUGUUGGUGGGGUAAUGGCCUACCAAGGCGACGACGGGUAGCCGGCCUGAGAGGGCGACCGGCCACACUGGGACUGAGACACGGCCCAGACUCCUACGGGAGGCAGCAGUGGGGAAUAUUGCACAAUGGGCGAAAGCCUGAUGCAGCGACGCCGCGUGAGGGAUGACGGCCUUCGGGUUGUAAACCUCUUUCAGCAGGGACGAAGCGAGAGUGACGGUACCUGCAGAAGAAGCACCGGCCAACUACGUGCCAGCAGCCGCGGUAAUACGUAGGGUGCGAGCGUUGUCCGGAAUUACUGGGCGUAAAGAGCUCGUAGGCGGUUUGUCGCGUCGUCCGUGAAAACUUGGGGCUCAACCCCAAGCUUGCGGGCGAUACGGGCAGACUUGAGUACUGCAGGGGAGACUGGAAUUCCUGGUGUAGCGGUGAAAUGCGCAGAUAUCAGGAGGAACACCGGUGGCGAAGGCGGGUCUCUGGGCAGUAACUGACGCUGAGGAGCGAAAGCGUGGGUAGCGAACAGGAUUAGAUACCCUGGUAGUCCACGCCGUAAACGGUGGGCGCUAGGUGUGGGUUUCCUUCCACGGGAUCCGUGCCGUAGCUAACGCAUUAAGCGCCCCGCCUGGGGAGUACGGCCGCAAGGCUAAAACUCAAGGAAUUGACGGGGGCCCGCACAAGCGGCGGAGCAUGUGGAUUAAUUCGAUGCAACGCGAGACUUACCUGGGCUUGACAUAUACCGGAAAGCGUAGAGAUACGGCCCCCCUUGUGUCGGUAUACAGGUGUGCAUGCCUGUCGUCAGCUCGUGUCCUGAGAUGUUGGGUUAAGUCCCGCAAC